CCUACGGGAGGCAGCAGUGGGGGAUAUUGCACAAUGGGGGGAACCCUGAUGCAGCGACGCCGCGUGGGUGAAGAAGCGCCUCGGCGCGUAAAGCCCUGUCAGCAGGGAAGAAAAUGACGGCACCUGAAGAAGAAGCCCCGGCCAACUACGUACCAGCAGCCGCGGGAAUACGUAGGGGGCAAGCGUUAUCCGGAUGUACGGGGUGUAAAGGGGGCGCAGACGGCGAUGCAAGCCAGGAGUGAAAGCCCGGGGCCCAACCCCGGGACUGCUCUUGGAACUGCGUGGCUGGAGUGCAGGAGGGGCAGGCGGAAUUCCUGGUGUAGCGGUGAAAUGCGUAGAUAUCAGGAGGAACCCCGGUGGCGAAGGCGGCCUGCUGGACUGCAACUGACGUUGAGGCCCGAAAGCGUGGGGAGCAAACAGGAUUAGAUACCCUUGUAGUC
rnacentral:rRNA from 1 species